CCUUUUCAACAGACGAAUAAAAGAAAAUGGUCUUCCCCCGUGAAGGGCGGGUUCCUUACACCACCAUUCCAUUUUCCCUUUAAUUAAUAUUUUAACAAGAAACGUCCUUAAACACGACAACACCGUACCUCCUGUCCGCGUACGAAUCCCUCCACUGUUCCAUUCCUUUGUACCUUAAAACAACGAAAACACCAUAAACAGCAUUCACAAACAAAACGAAAACGAUUCAUUUUUUCUCUUCUCUUUUGUUUAUCAAUCUGAGUUGGGUCGAUUGGAUUUUGAUGUAUUUUAGAGAGAAUUAAUGGAAUCUAGUAGUGCAUUAAUGGGUAAGUUGACAAGAUUAUCAUGGUCGCCGCUUAUUCUUUUGAUCACAGUUUUAGUGCUUUUAUCAAUCCAAAUCACCACCAGAGACUUUUACCCGAUAUGUCUCAUGUCUAGAUCGUCGUCCCAACCACCCGGUUUUUCGGGUGAUAAAGAAAGCUGUGCCGUGUUCUUCCUUGGGGAGCUUUUAUUACCCAGGAGAGAAGUUGUCAUGUCCAUAGUGGAUUUUGGUGGAGUUGGCGACGGCAAAACAUCUAAUACUGAAACGUUUCGAAAAGCAGUACGGUACAUGCAGCGUUUCGCGGAGAAAGGUGGGUCCCAGCUGAUUGUUCCCAGAGGCAGAUGGCUUACUGGGAGUUUUAACCUUACCAGUAAUUUUACAUUGUUUCUUGAAGAGGGUGCUGUUAUUUUGGGCUCUCAGGACCCAAAAGAAUGGCCUAUUAUAGAGCCAUUGCCUUCUUAUGGAAGAGGGAGAGAGAGAUUAGGAGGAAGACAUAUUAGCCUUAUUCAUGGAAAUGGACUUACUAAUGUCAUCAUUACAGGAAACAAUGGAAGCAUUGAUGGUCAAGGGAAGAUGUGGUGGGAAUUAUGGUGGAACAGAACACUGGAACAUACAAGAGGCCACCUUGUAGAAUUAAUGAACUCUCAUAACAUUCUCAUCUCCAACCUGACCUUCCGCAAUUCUCCAUUUUGGACCAUACAUCCCGUUUACUGCAGCAAUGUUGUGGUUAAAGACAUGACAAUUCUGGCUCCCCUUAAUGCUCCGAAUACUGAUGGAAUUGAUCCAGAUUCGAGCACUAAUGUGUGUAUUGAAGACUGUUAUAUUGAGAGCGGAGAUGAUCUUGUAGCUGUAAAGAGUGGGUGGGACCAGUACGGCAUCAAAACGGCUCGACCAAGCUCGCACAUCAUAGUGAGGAGGGUUUCAGGCACAACUCCAACUUGUUCUGGGGUUGGAAUAGGCAGUGAGAUGUCUGGAGGGAUUUUUAAUGUUAUGAUUCAGGAUUUGCAUAUCUGGGAUUCUGCAGCAGGGGUGAGAAUAAAAACUGACAUAGGCAGAGGAGGCUAUAUAUCAAAUAUCACCCUACAUAAUAUAACAAUGGAGAGAGUCAAGAUUCCUAUUAGGUUCAGUAGAGGCUCCAAUGAUCACCCUGAUGAACGAUGGGAUCCAAAUGCAAUUCCAGUUGUGAAAGGCGUUUCUAUAAGUAAUGUGAUCUGUGUGAAUUCAACAAAAGCCCCAGUUUUGCAGGGGAUCAAGGACGCCCCAUUUGGUGGAAUUUGCAUGAAGAAUGUUACACUAGUUGGUUUGGCAUCAUCGACAUCUUGGCAUUGUGAAUUUGUCUCAGGAUUUGCGAAUGAGGUAUUCCCAAUGCCUUGUCCCCAAUUGCAGAAUAAUGACUCCUCAUCCUGGUGUUCGUACUCCUGAGCUUCACUGGUCAGUCUGGAUUAUAUUUUUAAAUUUGGGUUUGAGAUUGGAGGACCACUCUUGAAGUUCAUUUGGCAGAGUAAUUACUCAUUGGGCGAACUGAACUGCAUCACAGGUGUGGUUGGAUUGGAUGGACUUGAAUCAGAUUACAAGUCCAUGUGAAUCAGCUACCAAGCUCUAUGUUCUUCAUAGGGCUGUCACCCUGUGCAAAGCUUCAGUGCUUGAUACUUCUAGGUCUUUCUUAAUCUGACUUCGUAAAAAUACACUUGAGGAUAUGGCAGUUCAUAUUCAGGAAGAAUUAAAUACAAAAAGGAGAAUGCCACGGACAGAAAAAUUAGAGUUCUGAUAAAUAUUGAGUUUAAUCCUUCCAGGGACAAGUAGAUACAUGUUGGAAAAGGGAAAGUUUAAAGACAAACCUUUGCCCUUCACCAUUUCCAGAACACAUUAGAUCCGCAUUUGUAUUUGUCCUUUCCUUCACACUCCAAGGCCAAAUCAUCAGAGAUAAAUGGGACUUUCUGCAACCACCAAGAAUACUAGACUCAUAAGGUAUCGAUAUUGUAAAGUACUGAUUCAGAAUACAAAUUACUGAUUCAGAGUUAUACCUUUUGCUUGGCAAGAUCUUGGCAGCCAGUGAAGUUCUCAGGGAACUUGCAUGUGCCAAAUUGAACUGUGUAUGCUCUUGCGAAAUUAGCACCACUUGUGGCCAAUCUCUUCUUGUCAUUCAAUUCCUGCAACAGAUGUUUAUGUUGUCAUCAGAAAUCACAAAAACAAAGAGAUGAUUGCAUCUACGGGGUAAUAGUCUAAAAAUUACUGAGCUAACAUAAAUUAGUUACCAACUUCUCAAGUCAAUUUGAACAGGUUUUGUUAUAAACUUGAACAUCA